AAAGCAGCCGCCCUGGUGUCACGUGGAAAGGGGAGGGUUUUUUUGCCUGAAACCAUUUAAUGAUUGAUUAGUCUGUCAGCGCCGUUGAACGUUCAAGUUAACGUGUUAUGGAUUAACAGUCUUUAUUAAUUUAGAAUGUUAGAGGGUUGGAAUGGAGCUUAAAGAUAAUCUAGUCCCAAUCUUUUGCCGUGGGCAGGGACGCCUCCCACUAGACUAGGCCGGUCAAGGCCUUAUCCAGAACUUCCCUGGGCAACCCCUUACCACUGCCUCACCUGCCGCACAGUAAAUACCUCAUUUAAAUCUCGCCCUUGUCUUAUCACUACAGCUCCUGACGAAGAGUCUCCAGCUUCCCUGUAGGGCCCCUGCAGAUACACGAAGGUUGCCAUGAGGUCUCUAGUUAACUUUCUCUUCCUCAAGCUCAACAGCCCCAGCCUUCUGAGCCUGUCUUCAUAAGGGAGGUGGCUGCAGUCCUUUUAUCAGCUUAGUGCAGAGGAGGCCACACACUUGAACAAUUCCAUAUCCUUAAACUGGAGGCCCCAGUGCCCCAGAGCUGGGUGCAGUGUUCCGACUGGUGUCUCACAAGAUGCAAGCAGGAGGGACAGCAUCCCUGCCCUGCUGCUUUGGAAGCAGUCUAGAAUUCUGACAUGUUAAGGUUCAAGGAUUGCUGGUGAUAGCAGCUGACCGCAAAAAACCAUAUUCAGAGCAAUAUAUUCAUUCAAAGCAAUGUACUAAAAAACUGUAAUCCCUAACAGAAGUCAGCUCUAGACAGUGAUUUACCAUUCACUGUUCUUACCCCAUAGUGUCCCCACAGGGGCAAUAACAAUUUGAGCCUGUCAACUGAUUCCAGAAGUUACAAUGGAGUCUUUCCCAACUUCUCACCCUUCUGAAUUCACUUUUGUACUAUUUUCUUAUCUUUAGAUGGAGCUUGAGUGGCUGUAGUCAUCUAGCUUACCCUGUGCUGAGUGGUUGUACAUUGGGGGUGGAGAUCUCAAAAUGCAUAAUGGGUCAGCCUAGAGGAGAGUGAUUCCUCCGCAGUUGCUGAUUCAUCAACAGCACAUCUUCCUUUAUCUCCCAUGGUUUUCAGCUGCUGUGCAGCCAGAAAGGACCAUUAAGUUCAAGCCUCUGCAAGAGCCUGGCUAGACUGUACUCUACUCCACCCACCUUUAGCAUGUAUAGUGAGUGGGAAGGCAGGUAUGCUGGCCACAUUCCACCCAGGGAGUAGCAAUGCUGUUUUCCUCUAUAAUUUCCAUACCGUUAUCUUUUUACCCCCAAACAUUUUCCUACAGCAGAGAACAAUGGCCGCCCAUGAAUGCAUAGUUUCCCACCUACAAAAUACAGGCACAGAAUGUGAAUAUUUAUUGACUGUCACACAUUUUAAAAUAACAACGCACAUGGCUAUUCAACAGGAACCGCUGGCUCAGAAGGCAAAACCCACGUGUACAGCAAUUCAGUUUGGACACAUCCCUGAGCAGAGGACCUGGAACCAGUGACUGCUAUGAUCCAUCACAGACAAUGCACUGUCUGCCUUUCCUCUGGGUUCAUGCCAGUCUGGGGCCAAGUGAGAGGAUGGCCAUGCAGUGGUGGAUGCAGAGGCAUCGUGGGAGGAGAGAGUGAAAGCUGCUGGAUGAACUGAGCUGCCUGCCACUCCCCAACUCCGGAUGGCUGCAGCGACGUGACUUUGAAGAAACCCCAAUUGCCUUGGUACAGGGAGCCUCAUGCCAUUACUUUAAGUUGAAUGAUGGCUAUGCCAGAAGGAAAUCAGGCACAACUUUCCUCAGGACGCUUCCAAUCAUCAGUCCUUAGUCCCCUGCCUGCUGAAUCAAUCUCCACAUGGAAGACUGAACAUGGGUUAGAAAAACAGCCUUCUCUCAGAAACGAUAAAUGCAAAAAUCAGUUUUAAAAUCUAACUAUUUCAAAUGAGUAACAAGAAAUAAGUUAUCAGUAUGGAAGGAAAAGCCAACAACUUCCCAUGCUAGAAAACUCCCAUUCUAAGCAGAUCUUUCAAGCCCUGGAAGCUUUAAGUAAAAUUUUAACAGAUGAAGAAAGUUUUAAAUAUAGCUAGGAAACAAACCUCACCAGAACAAUUACAUUAGGGAAAACGGAUGUGUGUGAUCUAGUAGUUAAACACUAAUUGACACUGACUUACCUGUUUAAGACAGUUAGCUGUGUUGCAAACCUGAAAAACCUUUGUAUUUCUUGAUUUCUCAGCACUGAUAAGCUACUAUUCACAACAUAAAACAUUCUGGCUUUGGAAACUCAGACAUUAAAAGCAUUUUAAAUUACUGAGAAAUAUGAUGACAGCACUUUGUUCCAAUAAAAAAGGCAGCAUAAAUAAACAACUGAGUGUCCCUCCAUAUCAUUAAGAAGGACAGAGUAUGCGCCUCAUUCAGAAGAGGUAUAUAUACUUCAAUCCCACCAGCAAAAUUGGAAGUCGCUCUGAACAGAAAGCUAAAUAAAGUACAAAGGUAAUACACUUGCAAAUGUGUUUAGGAAAGAACACAAGUAUUUAUUUGUGAAAGGAACACAUCUGGAAGUUUAUAGAUAGCUGGCUUCAGAUGGGUGAAAACCAAAACAAGACUUAGGAUGCUAGUUCCCCAAGACCCCUUUGGCAAUUCUAGCUUUCAACUUCCAUAAAAAUAGAGAAAAAAAAUUAACAUGAUGGUUCUAAAUCCAGAUAAUUAUAGUAGAUUAGCAUUACUUCUACAUUCAUGUCAGAAAUAUUGAAAACUACAACCUCAGGAAAAAAGAGAAACUUAAGUCUGAUUUUCGCUUUUUUUUAAAAUUUAUUUCAGAUUCAUAAAUUAACAGUGGUUUCAAUUUUAACACAUAACUAAUUAUCUUCUUAACAAGAUAAGAUGGUACAUUACCACCUCUGGAAGGACUUCAAGUAAAACUCAAGUUCGUACUACUAAUGAAUGUAAAUUUUUGACUGGUACAAGGAUCCUCUUCAUAUUUUAUGAAAACAAACAUGUAUUUUUCCCCAGUUGCCAAAUAUAAUACCUCUAUUUCUUAAAGCAUUUUUGUCUGUAUCCCCAAGGCCUUGAAAAAGAUUCUUAGCAGCAACAAAACAGGACUGACCUGUUACCUACUCUUUCUUUCUUGAACACGAGCACGGCAGCAAAUAAACUCCCAUAAAAUCACAGAACAGAAAACAACCCCACAAAAUCUCAGUGGCACUGCUUAUCCAGAGAUUGUUUAACAUAUGAUGACUAGUGUCUAGUUUUUAGUUCUCUGGAGAAAUAGAAAAGAAUAUAGCAGUCUACAAACAUCUCAAACACUUACACAAGGAUUCAGUAAACAAUCAACAUUAAUAAAUAUCAUUUGCUCCUUCAAAAGAUUCA